AGUAAGGGCGACCGAAACGGGAAGAGCCCAGCGCAAAGCCUCGCGUCCCUUGACCAGGGGCGCGAGGGGUGCUGCGUUCGGGAGAGGUCUUGCACGCGCUCUCGCGCCGCCUAAGUUGUGCAUGAAAGACUCCUAUACCCACGGAGGGUGUCAGGCCCGUGUGGCGGAACAGACCCCCUUCUCCUCGCUGACAAGGGGGAGGUUCGGGAGUGCGGAAUGGGCCUCUCCUUAGAGUCGGGUUGCCUGAAACUGCAACCUAAAGCAGGUGGUAAACUCCAUCUAAGGCUAAAUAUGACCACGAGACCGAUAGCGAACAAGUACCGUGAGGGAAAGUUGAAACAGAACCCUGUAGAGAGAGUUCAAGAGAACGUGAAACCGUUAAGAGCAUAAACGGGCGGAGAUUCGAAGAUCGAACUGGGGGGAUUCAGUUCGUCGGCUUGCCGGGAGACGGUAGCGGGUUAUUCGGCGGCCACGCGGUCCUUCUCCGGGCCCACCGGCCGCCGCGACUUCCCUUUCCUGAGGCCGAAUGGUCGAGGGUUUUCGGGGAGCGCGGCCCGCCGCCUACCCGUUGUCUGCGCCGACGGGCGAUCUUCCCCCUGUAGUAGAUCGCCGCGACGCGUUGGGGUUGGGUGUCUGAGGCCCGAGUUCUGGUAGGAACCGGCGACGCGCGUCCAGGAGUGUCUCGUGCAUUUCUGGGCGUCCAAGCGCGUUUGUCCGGGGAUCCCUCGGUGCCCUCGUCUUGCUCCCCCGACGGUCACUCCUCCGGGGCGUGGGGUGAGGAGCCGGUUGUUCUCAAUCGGCUUCUCCUCCGCUGCCUUCGCGGCGUGCAAAGAGUCGAUACUCCUCCCGACCCGUCUUGAAACACGGACCAAGGAGUCCAACAUGUAUGCGAGUCAAUGGGCGCACUAAACCCACAGGCGCAAUGAAAGUGACAAGCUUAAAAGGGGCCGAUCCCUCGGAGAGGGGCCGGCCGCAGCGCGCACCCCCGGACGGAGUGAUCUACUUUCCUCCCCGGGUCGAGCAGCGCCGCGGAGCUCCGGCCACCCCGCAAGCCUGCCCUCCAGUUUGCGCUGGAGUAAGCAGGGGGGCGCAGGUCCGGGACUCGCCAUGACGAACGGUCGUUUGCCUGAUUUGUCUUCGAUGAUGAUGGCUUCAGCGGCUGGAUGUGUCGGCGGGUACCCAGAGCAUAAAUGUUGGGACCCGAAAGAUAGUGAACUAUGCUUGGCCAGGAUGAAGCCAGGGGAAACCCUGGUGGAGGUCCGAAGCGUUUCUGACGUGCAAAUCGAUCGCCAGAGCUGAGCAUAGGGGCGAAAGACCAAUCGAACUAUCUAGUAGCUGGUUCCCUCCGAAGUUUCCCUCAGGAUAGCUGGCGCUCAAAGCAAAGAACGAGUUCCACCCGGUAAAGCGAAUGACUAGGGGUGUUGGGGACGAAAUGUCCUCAGCCCAUUCUCAAACUUUAAAUGGGUGAGGUGCCGGGCUUGCUUCGCUGAAGCCCCGGACGAGAAUCGGAGUGCCUAGUGGGCCAAUUUUGGUAAGCAGAACUGGCGCUGUGGGAUGAAGCUAACGUCGAGUUAAGGGGCCAAAGGGAAUGCGGUUUCCGAUCCCAUGGAAGGGAGUUGCUUGCUAUAGACAGCAGGACGGUGGCCAUGGAAGUUGGAAUCCGCUAAGGAGUGUGUAACAACUCACCUGCCGAAGCAAGUAACCCCGAAAAUGGCAUGGCGCUCAGGAAUCCUCCUAAUACUCGACCGCCGGGCGCACUAUGGGCUGCGACGAGGAGGUCUCGAGGCCCCGGCGAGUAGGAGGGCGCGGGGGUGAGCGUAUAAGGGUACGGCGUGAGCCGGCCUGGAGCCGCCACCGGUGCAGAUCUUGGUGGUAGUAGCAAAUGCUCGAGCAAGAUGAUGCUCUGACCCUCGUUGACCGAUGCGGAGGAGGGUUCCCCGCCAACAUCGCUUGGCCGUGGAUAAGUCGGACCUAAGCCCUAGGGUAGCUUCCCAUUCCAUGCCCCCGGAUAAAAAAAGCCACAAAACAUUUUUGGAGAUCAUCAUCGACGAGAACGACGAGCGGGACCCGUUUCUCUCCGUCCCCUCUUCCGAAGUCGAUAAUACCCACAAACAACUCCUCCCGUAAGAGGGCCAGCAAGCCAGCCGGCGGCGGCGGCGGCGGCGGCGGUCGAGGUAAGACGGACUGCAGUCGUGUAGUAGGGGUGGCCUCUUGCUGCUGCUGCUGCUGCAGCUGCUGCUGUUCUUUUUGGUGUGCCCUCCAGCCAACCGACCCACGGGGGUUGUUGUUGUUUGAACGAACGAUGCGCAAGACGACUACCAUAAUAGUAGUACGGGUGGCCUUCGUUUGUUCUUUUUGGUGUGCCCUCCAGCCAACCGACCCACGGGGGUUGUUGUUGUUUGAACGAACGAUGCGCAAGACGACUACCAUAAUAGUAGUACGGGUGGCCUUCGUUUGUGUUGUUUUGUGAAGGAUGAUGUCGGCACAGGCCCGGCCGGCCCCCACGACGGCGGUUGCGUGUUGUUGUCGCUCCGCAGCUGGGCUGGCUGCUGCUUGGUCGGCGGGGCCGGACGCACCGUUAGGGAGUCCGGUCUGCCUCAGCUGGUUGAUGCGCUGCUUACCUCCAUCCCAGCCUACGUUGACGUGAGGCAGCUGCUAAUUGGGUAUCUGCGAAUCGGAUUCCGAAUAGACAUACGCUUUGGCGGCACGGCCGAGUA
rnacentral:rRNA from 1 species